UACGUAGGGGGCGAGCGUUAUCCGGAGUUACUGGGCGUAAAGAGCACGUAGGCGGUCUGCUAAGUUCGGAGUGACAGUCACCAGCUUAACUGGUGAAGUACUUUGAAAACUGGCGGACUUGAGAGCGAGAGAGGGACAUGGAAUUCCGGGUGGAGCGGUGAAAUGCGUAGAGAUCCGGAGGAACACCAAAGGCGAAGGCAGUGUCCUGGCUCGUUUCUGACGCUGAGGUGCGAAAGCCAGGGGAGCGAACGGG
rnacentral:rRNA from 1 species